UCCCUGAGGGAGAGACACCCUCCUGAGAAAACCCACCUCAGCUGCUUGCACCCGCCAUCUCGUCCUUUCGGUCCUCACCCACCCUUCUUGACCAUAGGUGAGGAACGAAGAUCAACCGGUAGAUCCUCAUCUAUGGUCAUGGACAUCCACCCUUAAAGGGGAACUAAGCAACUUUGGCCACUUCUUCGCUGUUUCCUUGGUUUGCGCUCGCACUGAGCUCCCCCUACAGCUUCGGAGGAGAUAUUUUACAACACUGUCGUAACAACUCAUUGACGACCCUUCCCCAUCCACUUCUACGCUUGCCAUAUGCAUUUGUCUUCAAAGAAGCCGGCGAAUGCUUGGAGUCAUGUCCCAUGUAGAUGUUCAUAAAGAGUAGACAAGGUUAUACAUUUUGAAAGGGUGUAUGUGUUACAAUAAACCCAUCCUUUUUUUAUAGUUGACGGGGAGAUGUUAUAUCCUAGAUUAGAAUUGUUUUAUCUUUGGUUGUUGAACAGAACGAUCAGUGUAUGAGUGUUGGCCAACAUAAUACAUAACGAUAGCAUGAACAAUUUGCGCAGCAAUCGUACAUUUAGGUAUCUGCUCAAGUACAUCACUUGUGUACGGAAUUACAGGGAAAUGGAUUCAGAGAUCGAUACGGUAUGCUGUCGCUAGUCCCCGCAGGAGUUCUCAUAGGCAGAUGCUGUGUCUGGAAGAUUAGGGACACUGUUAGGUGCCGACAGCGGUAAAGUGCCUGUUAGGCGUUCCUCCCUCCUGGUCUUCUUUCUCUCCCUCUCCUGUUUACUCUUUUUUUUCUAUAGGAUCCUGACGACUUAAUUGGAGCUCACCUGUGCAGUCUCAUCCUGCUGCUGAUUGGUUGCCUUGGACCAGGAAAUUGGCAUAAAACCAUGCCGGUCGGCCGUCGCUGGGCCUUCCUUGUUUUGAUCUUGGCUGUUAGCCAUAUCUGUGUUUGAAUGGGCCCUACAGAAUAUUUUGUGCAAGGUAUGUGAGGGGAGACGGAGGACAAGUUAAAGCUAGAGUGGGCGAUUUGGGAGAAAACAGCCGUUGCGUUCUCUCUGGUCCCUCCCUGCCACGCUCUACCUGCUGUAGCUCCUCCCUCCGAAAGUCAGUUAAUGCGCGUUCAUGUGAAUUCAGUUACAUUGAUAGGAAGACGAAACACCAUGUCCGAUUCCGAGGUAAUUAAACGUUAAUGCUGAUAACUACAUAAAUACAUAUAUAGCAUCAACAUCUUACUCACACACAUACCAUGUAUGUUAUCUUAAAAUCAAUGUAAUUGCGCUGGUAGGCCUAAGAAAGGUAGCUGUAUCAGCCAAGCAAGAUAGCAAACUAAUUGCAACUGUAAUUCGUUAGCAUAAGCUGGUUAUGAUUAUGUCCCAGGUCCUAACAGCACAGGACGUGGGAUAUGUAGGGUCAGCGGACGUCCUCCUGGAGCUCUAUAUAUAAUAUAAUAUAAUAUAAUUUUAUAUAUAAUAUCACGGCCAACAGCUCUGUGCGCCUCCGGAUGGCCGUAGCGCGGGGAGCUCUCAUAGGGAUUGGGCUUCUCGGGGUUUGUUUACCGGCGUUGCUAUGGUUUCCGGUCUUGUGUGUUCCAACGGUCUAUUAGGUAGGCCCAUCUAAUAAAUCUCCGUCUAAUCAAUACUUCAUUCACUGCCUCUUCCGUACAAUAUUAUGAAUAGACUGCUUCGGGUCCUCCAACGUCUCUCCCUCUUCCACAAAAGGUAAAGACGUGCAAUGGUGGUUAUCGUGUUAUGACGCGACAAAUUCGACAAAACUUGCACAGCGACGACAGAUUACGAUUUGUGGCGCGACAAAACUUCGGCGACAACGCGAACGGGUGACAAAUGUCGCGUUUGGUGUGAACGCACAGUUAGUGUGACCAUAACUAAAAUGUAAAACGGACCGGGAAAAGAACCAUGGGCCGAUGCAAGACAUCCUGCAGAACCGUAUUGAAACGGUUACAUUACAGAACCGUAAUGUUACGGUUAUCGUGGCUUUGCCUAGUAAAAAACCAUACCAGCCGACACUUUACAUAUUCAUCACAAUAUACCAUGGAGAGAUAACACUAUUCCUUACCUGUCUAUAAGAAAUGUAUUCAUCUCAGGUUUUAAUGUUUACUCUGGUUUUAUACCACGCUCUCUCCGCCUCCCCUUUAGUAGCUGUCCUUUCAACAAGUGUCUUUCCUCUUCUUUUUUUUCGCUGUCUUACCGCAGUGUUAGUUGUUGGUAUCCGGGGAAUGGGAAAUUUAGGGGCCAUUGAUGAAGACAUUGCUAUUCAUUUGUUGUCCGCCGUAGUAGUGCAAAACUGUCAGACUGCUAGGCUCGUGAACGCUCACGCAGGGACGCACCAACGUCGUUGCCAAGGUGACAAGACGGUCCCACAGCCAAUAAGAACGGAGAAUCUAAGCCUCGCUCUGAUUGGUCAAAGUGUACAUGAGCGGUGGCAAUUUUUGGGGGCGGCACACAGAGGCAGGGGAGAGCAAAGUGAUGAGCAGAUAUUCUCAGAGCACUUCACCUACAUGGCUGGCUAUUAUGACAUUUUUACUAAAUAUUACAGUAAAAAAAUUACCCACCCUAGCUUUAAGUUGGGGCACCCUGUACAUACAUGCAGAAUUCAACCACUGUUAGAAACACUAGUUAGUUUGGUCAUGCCAUGCGAUUGUUUUGUAAAUAGUAUUUUUAGAUUAGCCAGAUAUUUUUGUUGUUUUCGUUUCUGAGAGGUAGAAGAGGGCCAGGCCUUGUUUUGUUCUACUUAUUUCUUUGUUUUGGCACGGCCACUAUUCUUCCGGUCUCUCCCUCAUAUUUUGGUAACCUUGUUAGGUUGAUUAUGAUUUAAACCUUUGGAAUAAACCCCUGUACUUGACACUUCUCCUCUGGACCCUUCAAUGUUUUGGUUGUUGUGUUAUUGUCUCCCGCAUUGCCACCGCGGGGAUGUAACAGACAGGAAUCACUCGUUAUCAAAAUAUCUACAGACAGAUAAUGACGGCUGAUGUAUCCAGUGCUGUAAUAUAUAUAUCGUGUGAUAUACACGGCUGUAUCCCUGUUUAAGUGGGCUCCAGCCGUGAAAGUGUAGCGUUCAUGUUUUGCAGUGGAAACACGACUCAAUAUGGAUGAUGUUGGGCGAUAGGGGC
ensembl:lncRNA